UACGUAGGGCGCGAGCGUUUGUCCGGAUUUAUUGGGCGUAAAGAGCUCGUAGGCGGCUUGUCGCGUCGUUCGUGAAAACUUGGGGCUCAACCCCAAGCUUGCGGUCGAUACGGGCAGGCUAGAGUUCGGUAGGGGAGACUGGAAUUCCUGGUGUAGCGGUGAAAUGCGCAGAUAUCAGGAGGAACACCCGGUGGCGAAGGCGGGUCUCUGGGCCGAUACUGACGCUGAGGAGCGAAAGCGUGGGGAGCGAACAGG
rnacentral:rRNA from 1 species